rnacentral:lncRNA from 1 species
GUCGAGUGAUAAAUGGCAGAUAUGUGAGAGCAGAACUAAUAAACGGGCUCUACCCUCUCACUAAAAUGGCCACACCAAUCAGAACUACAGAUCACAAAAUGACCGACCGCCAAAACUACAAUUCCCAGAAGCAAGGGGAACGCUCAGAAGGUGGGGCCGACCCACAAAUAAGGGGUCAAGACAAACCAGGAAGAGAGAGAAGGGGCUGGAAGGAUCUGCGAACCAUAGAGAAAGAGACAAUAUAUUUCGACUGGAUUUACCGUGUAUGAGCUGGACUGUUUGGACUUACCUGUUGGCGUUUGGACCUGGACCUACCGAGAACCCGAUUCGUGUACCGAACCUUGCUAUCCUUGACCUCGCCUGCGGCCUGCGUGGACCAGGACGGAGAAACAAACACGCAGGUUAUGAGAAUCUACAGUCUGAAGCAAUAUCCCUUGAUCCAUGGACUGUACUUGAAAUGAUACAAGAUCACCGGUGAAGUGUUCAUUAGAAGUCCUUAUCAAUCAGUGGAACAGAAGAAUAAUUACUCACUACCGGCAGACUGUCAGAACAUAAUUUCUAAUAGUUAUCUAUGUGGGACUGAUACCAGUGUGUAAGAGCUGUUCACUUUUAAAGGACUUGGUGAAUGAUUACCUUGCCAAUAGGACAAUUGAAUAUUAUUGUCUUGUAGACAAUCAUUUUUUUUGUGUGAGUUUCCUACCUAAUACAAGAUGUGGUAGGAAUCGUAAGGGACAUCAUCAUUAAACCUGUUAAUACUUAUUUUCUAUAACUUUGUUUGAAAUCUAUUUCUUAUUGUAACAUCAAGUGUUUUAUAGAAAUGCAAGGUGUUUAAUGUGAAUGAUUCUAUGCUUACUGCCAACGUUUUAUAUACUGUCUAUUUUUACAUGUUUUUUUAUUGUUUUCUAAAAAUACAUUUUGAAGAAUAUUUAUUUUUAAAAUGGUCUAGGGGGAGUGUAAGAAUAUUUCCAAGAUAAAUACACAAAGCAGAGUACGAGAGGUCAAGAGGACAAAAAGUCAAUAGAGUACUAACGAUCAACAGAAAUAGUUGUUUUUCUGUAAUAUCAAUGGGUUAGAGACAAGGAAUUUUAAUUGUCAACCACAGGCUAGUGCUGGGUUAUAAAACUACAUCCUGUCCCUUUGUUCUGUAGAGAGCAUCACUGAGGAGAGAAUCACCAAGGACAGGGGAGCAUGAACAUCUACCAUCUACCGCCCCGCAUGAUUUGUUCAUUUUGAAUAAACCUAUUUUCCUCCCCCUGAUUUGCUUUGGGGUCUGUGUUAUUGAAUAAUAACAUCAACUACUAACACGUCACGUUAACAUUAGCUAAAGUUAACCAAAUAUGUUUGUACAUAAAUCAGGGAUUUCCUCAUCGUCUGAUUCAUUUUCAGAGUCAAUUUGGCACUAUCGUCCUCCAGAAAGUAGUCCAUCACAACUUUUUCCCACAGACCUUUGUCAAUAGCGCCUGAUAAAAUCAGGACAGCAAUGUUAUUGAGAGCAAUAGCAACAUAUUUGCAGUUCUCCAUGGCUAAUGUUAUAUCUUAUGAAAAAAAAAUUGUAUAAAGGAUUAUCUAUGCAUAACAAGCAGCUUAUUUUAUAGACUCAAGAUGCAACACCGCAGACCAAUCUGAAACUCAUCUCUCGGCAGGUCCACCCCACUCAUUAUCUCAGCCAAUCAUGGCUAGUGGGAAGGUUCCUGCCUUUUCUUUUGCUAUACCGACUAGGCUCAUAAUUUAACAACUUUAUUCGCAUUUACAGAUGGCAUGAAAGUUCACAUGUUCAAGAAGGCAUUUUUGCCAAAAAACGCAUUUUGAUUUAAAAAAAAUGGUUUACGUUCAAAUGGCUCUCCUGUGAAGUCGUUACUUGCAACAUACGCCUAGUUUCCUGAAACGGGUCACAUUUGGGGAGUUUCUCCCAUUCUUCCCAUUCAUUAUUAUUUGUAGAUCAGUCAGUCACAAUUUACCUAUGAUAUAUUGCG